rnacentral:rRNA from 1 species
CGAGGAAACUUGUGCUAAUACCUCAUAAGUCUUUACGGAGAAAGCUUUAUGCGCCAAUGGAUGAGCCUGCACUUGAUUAGUUUGUUGGUAGGGUAAUGGCCUACCAAGACAAUGAUCAAUAGCUGAUUUGAGAGGAUGAUCAGCCACAUUGGGACUGAGACACGGCCCAAACUCCUACGGGAGGCAGCAGUAGGGAAUCUUGCACAAUGGGGGAAACCCUGAUGCAGCGAUGCCGCGUGAGUGAAGAAGGCCUUUGGGUUGUAAAGCUCUUUCGUCGGGGAAGAAAAUGACUGUACCCGAAUAAGAAGGUCCGGCUAACUUCGUGCCAGCAGCCGCGGUAAUACGAAGGGACCUAGCGUAGUUCGGAAUUACUGGGCUUAAAGAGUUCGUAGGUUGUUAAAAAAGUUGGUGGUGAAAUCCCAGAGCUUAACUCUGGAACUGCCAUCAAAACUUUUUAGCUAGAGUAUGAUAGAGGAAAGCAGAAUUUCUAGUGUAGAGGUGAAAUUCGUAGAUAUUAGAAAGAAUACCAAUUGCGAAGGCAGCUUUCUGGAUCAUUACUGACACUGAGGAACGAAAGCAUGGGUAGCGAAGAGGAUUAGAUACCCUCGUAGUCCAUGCCGUAAACGAUGUGUGUUAGACGUUGGAAAUUUAUUUUCAGUGUCGCAGCGAAAGCAAUAAACACACCGCCUGGGGAGUACGACCGCAAGGUUAAAACUCAAAUGAAUUGACGGGGACCCGCACAAGUAGUGGAGCAUGUGGUUUAAUUCGAAGAUACGCGCAGAACCUUACCAACACUUGACAUGUUCGUCGCGACUUAAGAGAUU